rnacentral:rRNA from 1 species
GAUGAACGCUGGCGGCGUGCCUAAUACAUGCAAGUCGAGCGAACGGACGAGAAGCUUGCUUCUCUGAUGUUAGCGGCGGACGGGUGAGUAACACGUGGAUAACCUACCUAUAAGACUGGGAUAACUUCGGGAAACCGUAGCUAAUACCGGAUAAUAUUUUGCACCGCAUGGUUCAAAAGUGAAAGACGGUCUUGCUGUCACUUAUAGAUGGAUCCGCGCUGCAUUAGCUAGUUGGUAAGGUAACGGCUUACCAAGGCAACGAUGCAUAGCCGACCUGAGAGGGUGAUCGGCCACACUGGAACUGAGACACGGUCCAGACUCCUACGGGAGGCAGCAGUAGGGAAUCUUCCGCAAUGGGCGAGAGCCUGACGGAGCAACGCCGCGUGAGUGAUGAAGGUCUUCGGAUCGUAAAACUCUGUUAUUAGGGAAGAACAUAUGUGUAAGUAACUGUGCACAUCUUGACGGUACCUAAUCAGAAAGCCACGGCUAACUACGUG